rnacentral:rRNA from 1 species
AACGUAGGUGGCGAGCGUUAUCCGGAUUUACUGGGCGUAAAGGGCGCGUAGGCGGCCUGCUAAGUCGAACGUGAAAUCCCCGGGCUCAACCCGGGAACUGCGUCCGAUACUGGUUGGCUUGAAUCCGGGAGAGGGAUGCGGAAUUCCAGGUGUAGCGGUGAAAUGCGUAGAUAUCUGGAGGAACACCGGUGGCGAAGGCGGCAUCCUGGACCGGCAUUGACGCUGAGGCGCGAAAGCCAGGGGAGCAAACGGG